UAACAAGGAUUCCCCUAGUAACGGCGAGUGAAGCGGGAUGAGCUCAAAUUUAAAAUCUGGCCGGUUUACUGGUCCGAAUUGUAGUUUAAAGAAGCGUUUUCGGUGGCAGCCUGGGUAUAAAUCCUUUGGAAUAGGGUAUCAUAGAGGGUGAGAAUCCCGUCUUUGACUCAGUGCAUGCUACUAUGUGAUACGUUUUCAAAGAGUCGAGUUGUUUGGGAAUGCAGCUCAAAAUGGGUGGUAAAUCUCAUCUAAGGCUAAAUAUUGGCGAGAGACCGAUAGCGAACAAGUACCGUGAGGGAAAGAUGAAAAGAACUUUGAAAAGAGAGUUAAACAGUGCGUGAAAUUGUUGAAAGGGAAACGUUUGACACCAGUCAUGCGGGCGGAAAAUCAGUCUUUUGUAGUGGGGAAGCGCGUGGGUUCAGACCGCAAGGCUGGCCUAUGUGUUCUCUCUGCUGCGAGUGAUGCACUUUUUCGUCUGCAGGCCAACAUCAGUUUCUUCUGCUGGACAAAACUCUAAGAGAAGGUAGCAGCUUAGGCUGUGUUAUAGCUCUGGAGCGAUACAGUGGAGGAGACUGAGGUUUUCGCAGCGUGUGCUCUCGGGCAAGGCGGAUUGGGUGCUAUGAGAUCGUUCGGCGUACAAUGCAUGCAUUUUGCGCCGUGUCUUUUUCAUACUCGCUCAACUCUGCUCUUCCACGCUUAGGAUGUUGGCAUAAUGGUUUUAACCGACCCGUCUUGAAACACGGACCAA
rnacentral:rRNA from 1 species